GACGAACGCUGGCGGCGUGCCUAAUACAUGCAAGUCGAACGAGAGCGGCCGGUGCUUGCACUGGUCAAUCUAGUGGCGAACGGGUGAGUAACACGUGGGUAACCUGCCCAUCAGAGGGGGAUAACAUCCGGAAACGGAUGCUAAAACCGCAUAGGUCUUCGAACCGCAUGGUUUGAAGAGGAAAAGAGGCGCAAGCUUCUGCUGAUGGAUGGACCCGCGGUGCAUUAGCUAGUUGGUGAGGUAACGGCUCACCAAGGCCGUGAUGCAUAGCCGACCUGAGAGGGUGAUCGGCCACAUUGGGACUGAGACACGGCCCAAACUCCUACGGGAGGCAGCAGUAGGGAAUCUUCCGCAAUGGACGCAAGUCUGACGGAGCAACGCCGCGUGAGUGAAGAAGGUUUUCGGAUCGUAAAACUCUGUUGUUAGAGAAGAACAAGUGCUAGAGUAACUGUUAGCGCCUUGACGGUAUCUAACCAGAAAGCCACGGCUAACUACGUG
rnacentral:rRNA from 1 species